rnacentral:rRNA from 1 species
GAUGAACGCUGGCGGCGUGCCUAAUACAUGCAAGUCGAGCGAACAGACGAGGAGCUUGCUCCUCUGACGUUAGCGGCGGACGGGUGAGUAACACGUGGAUAACCUCCCUAUCAGACUGGGAUAACUUCGGGAAACCGGAGCUAAUACCGGAUAAUAUCUUGAACCGCAUGGUUCAAUAGUGAAAGACGGUUUUGCUGUCACUUAUAGAUGGAUCCGCGCCGCAUUGGCUAGUUGGUAAGGUAACGGCUUACCAAGGCAACGAUGCGUAGCCGACCUGAGAGGGGGAUCGGCCACACUGGAACUGAGACACGGUCCAGACUCCUACGGGAGGCAGCAGUAGGGAAUCUUCCGCAAUGGGCGAAAGCCUGACGGAGCAACGCCGCGUGAGUGAUGAAGGUCUUCGGAUCGUAAAACUCUGUUAUUAGGGAAGAACAAAUGUGUAAGUAACUAUGCACGUCUUGACGGUACCUAAUCAGAAAGCCACGGCUAACUACGUG